GGAAUCCGUUUUGCAUGCGAAUACUGAGCAAGGAAAGAAAACGCGUUUUAUUCCGAUUUUUUGGAAAAAGUUCGUAAACAGAGUGUUUUAUUCGUUUUGACGAUUUUUUGUGAAUAAUUCGCGUAAUAUAUGCGAAUUAACUAAAUAAGAUUAAAACUUAUUCUGAAACAUUUUUUACUAGAUUAAAUUCUUUAGAUAGCGUAGCGUCAGCCCGAGUUUUAAAUUUUCUCUCUUUUAGGGGACUCUGAGUUUGAUUCCUAUAUUAUGCGUCAUCUAAUAUUCACCAUACAUAUUUGUAGGGACUGUUAAGAUUAAUUUUGAACUGUUUUUCACUAAUUGUCAAUAUUAAUUUGAACCGUUUUCUAAUAUGCACCAUAUACGUGAGUAUAGAGUUUUUUUUUUUUUAAAGAGAAUUGUAGCAAACUAUUCGCUUCGUUUAUUUUUUAGAAAUAAAAUCAGUUGGAAAUAUAAAGCAACCAAACUUCGAACUCGGAAUCUCGGAUGCCAAACAUCAAACCCUAAACGAAAACAAAUAGGAUAUUUUUUUAUCCAACUUUCUUAUUAUAUGUAAAGCAAUCUCCCCAUCGUCCCAAACGGAGCGUCUAGUUCGAUAUCAACACCUCCAAUCUUGAAUAUAGGAAUUAACCUAUUUGCUCUUUUUGAUUGUUCAUUCAAUUUCUAUUAUUCAUAUUAUUCACUAGUUCGAUAGUUAAACUGUCAGUUCGAAUGAUUUAAAGCAGAUUUUUGAUUUAUUCGCUUCAAGAAAUUGAACCGAACGACUUUAUAAAAUGGGUCACAAUUGGACUGAUUUAAGCCGGCUAAAUGC
rnacentral:lncRNA from 1 species